rnacentral:tRNA from 1 species
GGAGAGGUGCCAGAGUGGUUGAAUGGAACAGUCUUGAAAACUGUCGUGCCUUCACGGGUACCCAGGGUUCGAAUCCCUGCCUCUCCG